CCCAUCAGUAAUCUGGGGAAAGGCAAGAGCAACCAGGAGAAAUAGUGGAUGCCACAGUUCUUACUCUAGGCACAUAGGAAGGUAUGUAACAAGAACCCAAGAAUUUCAGGAUUUCUCUUCCAGUAGGAGGUACCACACAGCCAGCACAGAUUCUCCUUCGCCAGCCUCGGCUUGCUUUUGCUAUGAAGGCUUAUCUCUUCUAUUUCUAGGAAUAUAGCUACAUCUCAUUGUUAUCUCUCUUCCUAUGCCCCUCCUGUUUGUAGACUUGUGCUCGCCCAGGAGGCACCCAAUGAUUUCGUUCUGCCUCCGUUGCAUUUGGGACUUCCAAAUGGAAUCAGCCUCUGCUCUUUCUCCCCUCCUGCCUGUGUCCUGCUAAGUGGGAGAUACGAGCCUCAUCCCUGUGCAGAGAUCCAAACUCUUCUCCUACUUCUUCUCCCUGUGACAACAUUAUUUGCACCAGACAAAGCUUUAGUGGUCUCUGAAUUUUCUUUUCCAUUCAAGAGGGGAGACAGGGUAGGAACAAUACGUGUAAGCAAGUGAAGAACAAAUCACUGGGAAGGAAACAGCUGCUUGGGAUGCCAGCAAGGAGAAUAGGAGCUACUUCUUCCCCGAGUUCAGCUCUUUCCCAAAGAGAGAAGAAACCACCCACCGGCUGAACAUAGAUUCGAGCUCUGUACCAAUCCUUUAACAGCAGCACAUCAAUCCACCAUUACGCUUCUCUACCACAAAGCUCCAGCCCUACCCUGCAGACCCUGGAAAGCAGCCGCAGAGAAGUCUUUGAUCAAGACAGAGUCGUUCAAACUUUGGUCCUUGGUCCACAGGCCUCCAAACCCGAGUCUGAGACCAUUCACCACUCCAUCAUGGAUCUCCAAAGGCAUUGGUCUCUUCCACAGACUUCCAUCUGAAGAGUUCCUGGAGUCUGCAGGACCAAGAUCCCGAAGGCAUCUCCGCCCUGCCCCAGACUGGCCAGUCUAACCAUACUAACCUGAACUCCCCAAGACCAAGACUGUCCACAGCAUCUUCUCCAGCGACCCACAAGCAAAGUGAGGGUGUCUGUGGUUGGACCAAGAACCCUAAAGGCAUCUUCGCUGCUGACCCAUAUCCAUGUGAGUCAACUGAGAGUCAGAUAGAGGUCUGCAAAGGGACUGAGAGGCUCGAUCUGUGCCUAAACUGACUACCAAAGGUUGUGUCUAACCCCGGCAGGACCCAGGGAGCAGAAUCCAAGAAAUC
rnacentral:lncRNA from 1 species